rnacentral:rRNA from 1 species
UACAGAGGUCUCAAGCGUUGUUCGGAUUCAUUGGGCGUAAAGGGUGCGUAGGUGGCGCGCUAAGUCAGGUGUGAAAUUUCGGAGCUUAACUCCGAAACUGCACUUGAUACUGGCGUGCUUGAGGACUGGAGAGGAGACUGGAAUUCACGGUGUAGCAGUGAAAUGCGUAGAUAUCGUGAGGAAGACCAGUGGCGAAGGCGGGUCUCUGGACAGUUCCUGACACUGAGGCACGAAGGCCAGGGGAGCAAACGGG